CCUACGGGUGGCAGCAGUGAGGAAUAUUGGUCAAUGGACGAGAGUCUGAACCAGCCAAGUAGCGUGAAGGAUGACUGCCCUAUGGGUUGUAAACUUCUUUUAUAUGGGAAUAAAAUGUUCCACGUGUGGGAUUUUGUAUGUACCAUAUGAAUAAGGAUCGGCUAACUCCGUGCCAGCAGCCGCGGUAAUACGGAGGAUCCGAGCGUUAUCCGGAUUUAUUGGGUUUAAAGGGAGCGUAGGUGGUUUGUUAAGUCAGUUGUGAAAGUUUGCGGCUCAACCGUAAAAUUGCCGUUGAAACUGGCAGUCUUGAGUACAGUAGAGGUGGGCGGAAUUCGUGGUGUAGCGGUGAAAUGCUUAGAUAUCACGAAGAACUCCGAUUGCGAAGGCAGUUCACUGGACUGCAACUGACACUGAGGCUCGAAAGUGUGGGUAUCAAACAGGAUUAGAUACCCGAGUAGUC
rnacentral:rRNA from 1 species